CUGUGUCCCUAGUCCUUUAAUUAACUAAUAAUUAAUUAAUUGAUUUAGUGGUACUGAGGAUUGAGCCCACGAGCACUGACCACUGCGCUACCUUCCUGGUCAUUUAAAAAAAUUUUUUUGUUUUUAUUUUGAGACAAGCCCUCACUAAAUUGCUAAAUUGGCCAGUUGGGACUAGAGCGUUUGCUCUUCCUGCCUCAGUCUCCCUCGGUGCUGUGGUCACAGGCAUGUGCCACAGUGCAUGCCUGGCUCCAGGUGUUAUUUUGAGAAGAAUCGCUGAAUGGUUCCUCUUAAGCAAACAGUCUCAGCAUCUGGCCAGGAGUAUGAUGUUCACCUCCAAUGUAGAGACAAGGUCAUUGGUACCCAGAGCAGCCGAGGAAGAGCCUAGCUUACAGGCCAGGCGGGAGUCAUUUGCAACAGCGGCCUCAGUCUUCCACGGGUCUGAACAUCUACGUCUCGUGUGAAAAUUAAUUAGAUGUCCUCUGCCUUACAGUGGUUCUGAUAUAGGAGAUAGGGCACGGCGAAGCUGAGCAGGACCUGUCAAUCACAAGAUCUCCAGGCAACGCGAGGACCCGUAUGUGGAACUUCUCGCGAGCUCACAGGAGAUGCGGCCGAUAUACGAGAGGAGCAGCCAUCGCGGAAAGUCGCAAUCUUGUCUGAGUUUGUGUGGUGGUUUGUCUGGCAUCUCUGUUAUAUCGCGCACUUUUAUUUUUGCUUUUACCCUCUUUUGCUCUUUGUUCAGCUCGCGUUCGCUCUGCAGAGCUGGUUUCUUCCCUAUUCAGUCACUUUUCAAAUAAACUUUUGACGCUGGUAUUGACUUGUUUCGUCCAAUUCUUUGUUCGAGGCAAAAAGGGCCCGGCAAUACUUUUGAUAGGCGAGCCAUUUCUUUUAAAACUACCCUAUAACACUUCAACUUAAUGAUUUUUAACUUUACGAUGAUGAGAAAGAGUGAAUUCAGUCGGUACCAAGCUUUAAAUUAUGACCUUUCCCCAAGCUGGCCAUAUGCGGUACCCGCUCCUGCAAAUCGGGCCAGCAGCAGCUCGGGGAGGCGGGGAGGCGAUUAGUGUCUGGCAUGUGUUGUGUUGCUAAGCUAGGAUGUUCAGGAGGUGAGAUGUGUUACAAUGCAUAUUUAACUUAACAAUAUUUUCAAUUUACUACAGACUUAUUGGAAUAUAACCCUAUCAUGUGUCGACUGAACACAUAGUUAAAUUGCUAUGGGCAAGGCGGAAGUUGAAAUUGCUCACUCAGGGUCCACCAUUGGUAAGUGAAAUCACCAGACUAUGAAUGCAGAGUUGGGCUCUAGAGACUGUGCUGUGUGUGUCUUGGCGAUGCUGGUGCAAUGUGACUCUGUCAAGUGCUGGGAGAAGGAAGGGUCGGGCUGACUCUGGUGCUCCGCAGGGAGGAUUUGGAGCAGUGGACACAGCCAAGCUAUAGGGAGGAUCGCCUGGAUCGCUGUAGGGCAGAAUGAGUGCAUAGGCUGGCUGAGAUGGUGUGACAUUGGGAAAUACACAUUGAGCUUAGUCCUCCUGCCUGGUGUGUAACUCCUGCCGUCCUUGGUGUCUUCAGAGUGAUUGUUUUUUUUUUUUUUUUUUGUACACUAGCGAAUGGACAGCUGGCAGCCCCUGGGAGUUCAGUUUGGGGCUGGUUCAGGAAGGACAGAGGUGAGAUGAGAGAGCUGAGACUUGGAGCCCACCCCUGGUUCUGGGGAGGGGACAGGGUGAAAGUUGGGUUGAUCACCAACAGCCACUGAUUUAAUUAGUCUUUAAAUCAGUAAUGGAGCCUCCAUAAAACCCUACAUGACCA
rnacentral:lncRNA from 1 species